rnacentral:rRNA from 1 species
GGGAGCUCUCCCAUAUGGUCGACCUGCAGGCGGCCGCGAAUUCACUAGUGAUUCGUAUUACCGCGGCUGCUGGCACGGAGUUAGCCGGAGCUUAUUCUCCCGGUACUGUCAUUAUCAUCCCGGGUAAAAGAGCUUUACAACCCUAAGGCCUUCAUCACUCACGCGGCAUUGCUGGAUCAGGCUUUCGCCCAUUGUCCAAUAUUCCCCACUGCUGCCUCCCGUAGGAGUCUGGGCCGUGUCUCAGUCCCAGUGUGGCUGAUCAUCCUCUCAGACCAGCUAAGGAUCGUCGCCUUGGUGCGCCUUUACCACACCAACUAGCUAAUCCUACGCGGGCUCAUCCCUUGCCGAUAAAUCUUUGGUCCGAAGACAUCAUCCGGUAUUAGCAGUCAUUUCUAACUGUUAUUCCGAAGCAAAGGGCAGAUUCCCACGCGUUACGCACCCGUGCGCCACUAACCCCGAAGGGUUCGUUCGACUUGCAUGUGUUAGGCAUGCCGCCAGCGUUCGUUCUGAGCCAUGAUCAAACUCUAAUCGAAUUCCCGCGGCCG